CGAGCGUUGUCAGGCCUGUAACUAUGUUUAAAUUCACAGCCUCUGUUGCGAAGCAGACAAACAGAGCGAUAUAAACCUUGUGUGUUCUAUUCUCUCGUAUUUUGUAGUGGGACCAUAACGGUCCACAAUAGUCGCCGCCAAACACAACAAAUGGCCUUGUAGUUCCCAUUGUAGACUUCCCAUAAUUUGAUUGUAUAACCUCGGUUUUGCUCGUAUGCAUCUUACGCAAUUUUGCACAAUGUUGCGUGUCAUAGCCUUCCCCUUGAAGAUCCAAUAUUUCUGUCUUGAGGUUGCGAGUAGCAGUUGUGAACCACAGUGGUUCCAAAUAAAUCAUGUCAAGGAUCAGUUUUACAAUUGAGUCGUUGUAUGGUAAUGACAUCUUUUUUCGUAUACUAAGGUUACCUCCGGAGUUAAACUGUUUAUGGAAAUUCAUUUGUUCAAUGCUCCAUAUUUCCUGAACUGCUGUAUUUCUUUCGCGAAAUCCGACACCUGGAUAGUCUUGGGGUCAAUACUUCUGUCGAGCUUCGAUGCUUGCGUUCUGUUUUACUUUCGCAAGUCGCAGGACAAUUCGCUGUAAUCGACUAAAUGAACUCUUGUGGUUGAUAGCUGACACAGCAGAUUCCAUCUUAAAUUCAAGGUCAGUUCGAAUUCCUUAUUUCUUUGAGAAAGGUUCCAGCCAGAGAGAUUCAUUUCCGUGUAGAAAUGUGGGUCCAUAAAACCACAGCAUACUUCCUGACAGCCGACCCGGUUUCAUGACUCGAUAUGAAAUCUGCUGCAUUAUCCUUUGUCUAUGUCGCCAUUGAUUGCUCAGCGAUCUGCCUGGUAUACGAACGUACGUUUUUAGUGUUGAAUGUCCUGAAUUGAUCCAAUUCAAUGUAAUCUCUGAAUCAAAUAAUAGUCCAUUUCUGCCGGCUGUUCAUCGUCGUAAACAAAUUUUAUUCUUCCACAGCUUCUGAAUAAAGAUCUUCGCUGCUGACACCACAGGAGCUGCAAUUCCUUAUGGUUCGAAGAAUCUUGCCAAAUCUAAUGUGACUUUCCGCUUGGUGAUGUUGGUAAAUGCAUUCACAUCAGUCUUCAAACAAAAUUGGUCUGCUUGGGGAAAACAUGUUGAUCCAAAAACAUUGAUAGAUUAAAAAUAAAUAAAUCUUGCUUCAAGUAGUAACUGCUAAACUGCCAGACACUCACAACAUUUUUUGAAGUACCAUCGCCCCCAUUUGUUAUUUUUGUAUGUUCGUAUUUGCUAGCCUUUUCAGAUAUCUUGUAGCAAGAUAUGGGGCGCACGUAGUACGUGUUCAACAUCAGCACUUGUCUAUACAUCUUCUUAAUUAAAAAAAAACUUUUAAUACCUGGACUUCAGCUAUACGAGGCUGUAUUUCUCUCCACAUUAGUUUAAUUCAUUUUUCAUUCUGUCAAUUUUGGACAGACUUCACCAUCGUUUUAUUGGCAUGGGAGCACAUUUGUUGGAAGUAGAGUCUCGGAAAUUGCUGAUCCCAACAAUCGGUGGGAAAGACUCAAGAUUAUUUCACAGCAUUUUUGCCACAGAUGGAAGUUAGAAUAUCUCCACGAACUUUACAGAAGAAAUAAGUGAAACUGUGAAAAAUAUCAAGGAAAGAGAUUUAGUUGUCGUAAAAGAUGACAGGCUGGCUCCGCAUGAAUGGAAGUUGGGUCGUAUCGAUAGUACGUAUUCAGAUAUGGCCGCUUACUUACCCGACCAGGACUGCCGUUUAGACGAUCGCUGUCGUAGCCCAGUCAAACAGCAAAAAGAGCCAACAUACCCAUACGGCCAAUCCAACGUCCCAGUUCAACAUCCCCUGAAAGGCGACAGAGAAGCAGAUCUGAUAAGAUAAGACCCCGGCCAAGCCAUGAGUGAUCCACUCAAUUGCUCUAUGCCAAGAAGACCAUGCCCUCAGUGUCUGUGAGAUGUUCCGCAGGCAGACGCUCUUCCAGCGGUAUAAGACAGUGGAGCGUCUGCGCUAUUGCCGGAAUUGCCUGACGAGAAAUUAUCUGGCCUCCGACAGCCCGUCCUUAACUGGUUGCUGGAGAUGCAACGAUCGGCACCAUACGUUAAUGCACGGGGCGUCUCAGUUGGACGAGGUAUCACUCAACAUAGGGGCCGUAACCAACCCAGUUUUCGCGUGGGGUUUGGUAUUUGUACCAACGGCUAUGGUACGCAUAACGGCCGAGGGCAUGGAGGUGUUUAGCAUGUUGCGAGCCAUAAUUAGCUAAUCUGCGACGAUGUCAAGGAUUUCAUAUGCGAAUUUACAAAGGGGAACGAUUUGGCACCUACACAGUUUCGCCCCGCCGCACAAACAAUAAUUGGAGUCUGAAGGUAAAUGCGGUAAUAUUUGAAGAUCUGCCCAGUUGGGAUUCGUGUUUGCUGGGCCCAUUAAGAAUAUGCCUUGGAACUGAAGAACGUGGAACCUUAUGGUACAAUAAAAAGGAAAGGAAAUCCGCUAUUUACAAUUUUUUCAAAGUGUGCCCGACUUUUGCCAAUUUUGUGUAUGUAUUUGUUGUUUUAAAAAAUAAAUGCAAAAUAUUUUCGAAAUCAA